CCUGCCCCUAGAGGCAUUGUAGGUGUGGCUGCUGUGUCACACGUGCAUCAGUAGGUGGCAGAGAGGACAGAGGUUGAGUCUACGUUCCCUGUUCUGACCUACGAACAUCUGAAGGAUGUUCCCUGGGAAA